CAGUCGCCACGGUAAUACGUAGGGUGCAAGCGUUAAUCGGAAUUACUGGGCGUAAAGCGUGCGCAGGCGGUUAUAUAAGACAGAUGUGAAAUCCCCGGGCUCAACCUGGGACUGCAUUUGUGACUGUAUAGCUAGAGUACGGCAGAGGGGGAUGGAAUUCCGCGUGUAGCAGUGAAAUGCGUAGAUAUGCGGAGGAACACCGAUGGCGAAGGCAAUCCCCUGGGCCUGUACUGACGCUCAUGCACGAAAGCGUGGGGUGCAAACAGGAUUAGAUACCCCAGUAGUCCCUGUCUCUUAUACU
rnacentral:rRNA from 1 species